rnacentral:rRNA from 14 species
AGACCCGAAACCCGGUGAUCUAGCCAUGGGCAGGUUGAAGGUUGGGUAACACUAACUGGAGGACCGAACCGACUAAUGUUGAAAAAUUAGCGGAUGACCUGUGGCUGGGGGUGAAAGGCCAAUCAAACCGGGAGAUAGCUGGUUCUCCCCGAAAGCUAUUUAGGUAGCGCCUCGUGAAUUCAUCUCCGGGGGUAGAGCACUGUUUCGGCCAGGGGGCCAUCCCGGCUUACCAACCCGAUGCAAACUGCGAAUACCGGAGAAUGUUAUCACGGGAGACACACGGCGGGUGCUAACGUCCGUCGUGAAGAGGGAAACAACCCAGACCGCCAGCUAAGGUCCCAAAGUCAUGGUUAAGUGGGAAACGAUGUGGGAAGGCCCAGACAGCCAGGAUGUUGGCUUAGAAGCAGCCAUCAUUUAAAGAAAGCGUAAUAGCUCACUGGUCGAGUCGGCCUGCGCGGAAGAUGUAACGGGGCUAAACCAU